AUUCAGCUAACGAGUUCCAAAUAGGACGAAACGCGUGUCCUGGUU
rnacentral:hammerhead_ribozyme from 1 species